rnacentral:tRNA from 1 species
GCUCCUGUGGCGCAAUCGGUUAGCGCGAGGUACUGAUACAGCAGUACUUGUGAAGAUAUGCAGAGGUUGUGAGUUCGCAGCUUCAUCAGGAGCA